rnacentral:rRNA from 1 species
GAUGAACGCUGGCGGCGUGCCUAAUACAUGCAAGUCGAGCGAACAGACUACUAGCUUCCUCCUCUCUCGUUUGCCGCGCACGUGUGUGUAACACGUGUAUAACCUACCUAUAUUACUGGUAUAACUUCGGGAAACCGUCUCUAAUACCGGAUAAUAUUUUGUUCCGUAUGGUUCUAUAGUGAAUGUUGGUUUUGCUCUCACUUAUAGAUCGAUCCGCGCCGCAUUAGCUAGUUGGUAAGGUAACGCCUUACCAAGGCAACGAUCCGUAGACGAAGGGGGAGAGUGAUAGGCGACAAUGGAAGUGAGACACGGUCAAGACGACUAAGAGAGGGAGCAGUAGGGAACGGGAGGCAAGAGGGGAAAGAAUGACGGAGCAAGGCCGAGUGAGAGAUGAAGGUCUUGGGAUCGUAAAACUGUGUUAUGAGGGAAAAACAAAUGUGUAAGUAAAUAAGGAGGAAGUGACGGUACCUAAAGAGAAAGCAACGGCUAACUACGUG